rnacentral:rRNA from 1 species
GACGAACGCUGGCGGCGUGCUUAACACAUGCAAGUCGAACGGUGAACGAGGGAGCUUGCUCCCUCCGGAUCAGUGGCGAACGGGUGAGUAACACGUGAGCAAUCUGCCCCGAACUCUGGGAUAAGCGUUGGAAACGACGUCUAAUACCGGAUACGACGCGGGAGGGCAUCCUCUCCGCGUGGAAAGAACUUCGGUUCGGGAUGAGCUCGCGGCCUAUCAGCUUGUUGGUGAGGUAACGGCUCACCAAGGCGACGACGGGUAGCCGGCCUGAGAGGGUGACCGGCCACACUGGGACUGAGACACGGCCCAGACUCCUACGGGAGGCAGCAGUGGGGAAUAUUGCACAAUGGGCGCAAGCCUGAUGCAGCAACGCCGCGGGAGGGACGACGGCCUUCGGGUUGUAAACCUCUUUUAGCAGGGAAGAAGCGAAAGUGACGGUACCUGCAGAAAAAGCACCGGCUAACUACGUGC